rnacentral:lncRNA from 1 species
GCGGCAGUUUGCGUCAGAUAUUUGCGAGUGCCAUCGUUUUCCGCGGGGGAAAAAAACCCCGCGAAAAUGACAAAUCUGCAGACGGGAAAUGUGAAACGUAGUGAGUGAAGGAAUGACGUUAAGAUUACCUCGGGUCGCUAUUUCCGGUAAAUAUGCGCUUCGCUUCUUUGAUUUUUCCGCUAGUCGGUUUACUGGUUCUUGCCUUUACACGGCCCAGCACAUCACUGGGAUUUUCAUCGAAGCUGCGUUUCUACAAAGGCAUUCUCAUGCUCGGGAAGGACCGGUGCGUCAAUAGGUGCAAGCUCAAACAUGGUACUUCCAAGACUCGGCGGGUGAUUAUCAACUUGCCUCCGUGGCCAAAAGAGGCAUCGUUCCCGGAAAGUGCAUGUGCAUGGUAUCACGGAGCCUGAGAAUGUACAUUACUCAAAAAUUUGGCGCAGAGGCCGCAAAGAAAUACGGUCGCCUGAACUUCUUCGGCAGAACUCGGCAAGGUCGGGAGGAGCUGAAGAGGCUGGCUGGUAAGGACAAGGGGAUCACCUUCCUCACGUACGAGCAGUUUAACCAGAUGGUGGCGGAUCAGAACCAGCAGAAGACCAACGCCCAGCAGAGACAGCAGACCGGCGGAACCGCCCAAACCAUAAUACCCCGAAUCGCGGUGGACGAGAUACAAGCGGAUGGUUCGACGAAGCAGGUGGAAGUCGAGCUAACGCCCGAAGAAAUCCAGAGGGUACAAGGUUUCUGGGGGGAUGUCAUGGAGAGAAGGAGGAGGGAAGCGGCGGCGCAGACCGCAAAAGCCGCCUGAAGCAUUUGGCGAAAAACUGAAAAUUAUUGAAGGAGCAGCAAUAUUAUACUAAACUAGGGUAGAGAGAAAAUGCAGAAGGCGGUGGCAAGCAGAGAAAUGUACUGUUCCACGUCACAGCUGAACCUUGAGCCACCCUUCUUAUUCGUUAAUGGUAUGAAAAACUGAAAAUUAUUGGAGGAGCAGCAAUAUUGAACAAAACUAGGGUAUACAGAAAAUACAGAAGGUGGUGGCAAGCGGAGAAAUGUACUGUUCUACGUCAUAGCUAAAAAUGAAGCCACCUUUCUUAUUGGUUAAUGGUAUCGCGGGAAAACCGAGACAGCUUUGAAAUUUAGAAAGGAGCGGGAAAGGUUGUGAGGUUUCCACUUAUUUUGCGGCUCUAAAAACUCGUAACUCCUGACUUUUUAUAAUUCAAUAUAUUUUUCUACCAAUGUUUGGACUGUAACUGAAAAUAAUUUGUAAGUUAAAAAUUCAUAUUUCAUAUAUAAUAAAACAUUUUACCUCGAUUUGUACCGUUUUGAAGGUAUAACCAUGUUAAAUCACGUUCUGUACGUCAAAAAAGCUGAAAUUGGAGGGUCAUGGUGACUAAUGUACGAUUAUACGACUUCCAAUGUUAGAUUCAGUGGCGAUGUAGGUCUUUAUAUACAGGUUCCAUCAUGAAAUGCACUUUUAUUUUGAACAGCAUGGCAGUCCGUGUACUUUUCUACGUCAUAGCCAAUCUUCAAGAUGGCUGCCUUGCCCCACCUGUAUUUUCUCUAUGAAACUAGGGGGCUACACCCCCUGGCGCUUCGGGGCCCAACCCCCAAGGGGCGCCUAGCGCACUUUAAACCUGCUUUGCGUACUCUUGUACCUUUGACUAAAUACUAGCUAUUUGGGGCGUGAGAAGAUGGUUCCCCUGCACACUUCGUAGGUUCUCCUAUUUAUUUUUCCGCUGCUAAAGAAAAAAUAUUCUAGAUUGUGGUGGUUCACAAGGAACCAUUUAGGGAACGAACCUUCCGAAUUCGGAGGAAACCUUUGUUCAGCGGUUAUAUCAGGGUGGCAAAAUUUCAUGAAAAAUAAAAUCUUGAAACUUCACGUGAAGUAUUUCUUGAAAUGUCAGAAAUUAAUGAAAGAUAUUGAAAAAUACCGGUUUCAUUUCAUUUUUCGCAAAAUUUAAAAAUUGUGACUUUCUUCUACUUUUGUGUGUUUGAGUGAGGGUUGCGUACUCUAGCCUCUGAAAAAUAUGAAAUAUUUGACUCGGAUCUCCAAUCUUUCAUUUCUUUCCUACAUUUCAUGCCACCCUGGGU